rnacentral:rRNA from 1 species
UACAGAGGGUGCAAGCGUUGUUCGGAAUUAUUGGGCGUAAAGGGCGCGUAGGCGGUUCGGCAAGUCUCUAGUGAAAUCUCUGGGCUCAACUCAGAGUCUGCUGGGGAAACUGCCGGGCUUGAGUGUGGGAGAGGAGAGUGGAAUUCCCGGUGAUAGCGGUGAAAUGCGUAGAUAUCGGGAGGAACACCUGUGGCGAAAGGCGGCUCUCUG